GGCCCACAGACAUUACUCCAACACCGACUCCUUCAGCAAGGGCUCUGACAUCUGGAAAGAACCGGGAGUACACAAGCUCCACGCCAGAGCCGAGUUCACCAUACACUACGUCUGUGUCCGGAUCUACUGGAUCUAACAGUAAAACGCGGCACUAUUUAUCCACCGUUCAGCACUAUUUAUCUACAAGCAAGUUCACAGACCCAGCGUCAAUAGGUCCAUCGAAACCAGCACUUGGACGACCUUAUAACAAAACAGCCCUUAUCGCCAUUGUUGUAACGGUCUGUUUGGUUGCACUACUCGGAAUCGUCGCUGCAGCGCUGAUGUAUUAUUGCAG